AGAGUUUGAUCCUGGCUCAGGAUAAACGCUAGCGGCAGGCCUAACACAUGCAAGUCGAGGGGCAGCGGAUGGAGUGCUUCGGUACUCCUGCCGGCGACCGGCGGACGGGUGCGUAACGCGUAUGCAACCUGCCUUCAACAGGGGGAUAAUCCGAAGAAAUUUGGUCUAAUACCCCAUAAUAUUCCGACAGGCAUCUGUCGGAGUUGAAAGCUUCGGUGGUUGGAGAUGGGCAUGCGUUGUAUUAGCUAGAUGGUGAGGUAACGGCUCACCAUGGCGAUGAUACAUAGGGGGACUGAGAGGUUUUCCCCCCACACUGGUACUGAGACACGGACCAGACUCCUACGGGAGGCAGCAGUGAGGAAUAUUGGUCAAUGGACGCAAGUCUGAACCAGCCAUGCCGCGUGCAGGAAGACGGCUCUAUGAGUUGUAAACUGCUUUUGUACGAGGGUAAACGCUCUUACGUGUAAGAGCCUGAAAGUAUCGUACGAAUAAGGAUCGGCUAACUCCGUGCCAGCAGCCGCGGUAAUACGGAGGAUCCGAGCGUUAUCCGGAUUUAUUGGGUUUAAAGGGUGCGUAGGCUGUUUUUUAAGUUAGAGGUGAAAGCUCGACGCUCAACGUCGAAAUUGCCUCUGAUACUGAGAGACUAGAGUGUAGUUGCGGAAGGCGGAAUGUGUGGUGUAGCGGUGAAAUGCUUAGAUAUCACACAGAACACCGAUUGCGAAGGCAGCUUUCCAAGCUAUUACUGACGCUGAGGCACGAAAGCGUGGGGAGCGAACAGGAUUAGAUACCCUGGUAGUCCACGCAGUAAACGAUGAUAACUCGUUGCCGGCGAUACACAGUCGGUGACUUAGCGAAAGCGUUAAGUUAUCCACCUGGGGAGUACGUUCGCAAGAAUGAAACUCAAAGGAAUUGACG
rnacentral:rRNA from 1 species